rnacentral:lncRNA from 1 species
AAAAACAAAAAUGCCACUGUUUUGUGAAACUCACCGUGUUUGUGUGUUGGCUGUCCCACAGCAGGAUGAACGUUGGGUGAACCGAGUCCUUCUUCAAGCAGGGAGAUACAAAUGCUACAUCUUGAUGCAAGUGUUCCGGAAUCUGCAAAGGAGGAGGCCAAAUUAGGUGGAGCACCCCCAUGUCAGCCUUCCCUUGCAGGUUUUAUUUCUGUCCCAAGGAACAUGCUUUAUCUCAGCCAAGCAAGAGGACUGGGAUGCUUGACAUGGCAAUGAAAAUGCCCCUUCCAGGCAAGGCUGCACUCUGCCCAUCUUUGGAAUUGUUUAUGGGGACUCAGGGCAAUCAGAGAGAGGAAUUUCAUGACAACAGUCAAAAGGCCAACUUUAGAGAAGCAUGGCCCCAAGCCCUUCUGGAUGGUUCUGAAGCAUACCAAACAUUGGCCAUGGUUUCUUAGAGCACAGACAUUGUCUCUCAAGGCAAAGUGUUCUGGGCCUUUUGAUGGGCAGUGAACUUAUGAAUUAUCCUGGGGCCUUUGUCCUCUUCUGCCAGCAGAAUACAAUGACAAGGCCCUAGAUGAUUUUGGAGUCCUGGGACAGAAGGACAUUUGGUCCCUUCAUCACCAGGUGGAGGAGAGCCACCUACUGACCAGGAGCACCCUAUGGAUGAUUGUAUGAUCAAGGUCUGUUGUAUUUAAUUUAAAGUACAUAUUUGGGUCUAUUUGUUACUGCAGCCUUGCCUAAGCUGAUGAAUACACACAUCAUUUUGUAAACGUGAAUGGUAUCCAAAUGCAUUUGUCUAACAAUGUUUGUUGAGUGUUAUUUUGAUUGGUUCUGGGGACACCUGGGCAUAUAAAGAAACAUUAAUUCAUGC